rnacentral:rRNA from 1 species
UGGGGAAUCAUGGUCAAUGGGCGAAAGCCUGAACCUGCGACGCCGCGUGAGUGAUGAAGGUCGUAAGAUCGUAAAACUCUUUUCAGGGAUCUUAAAGCCUGUCUGUCAACAACAGGCAGGUCUGACUCUCCCUGGAAGAAGCCCCAGCCAACUACGUGCCAGCAGCUGCGGUAAUACGUAGGGGGCGAGCGUUAUUCGGAAUUACUGGGUGUAAAGGGUAUGUAGUCGGCCCUUCAAGUCGCGUGUCAAAGUCCAGUGCUCAACGCUGGUUGUGCGGUCGAGACUGACGGGCUUGAGGGCUGGAGAGGUGAGCGGAAUUCCCGGUGUAGUGGUAAAAUACGUAGAGAUCGGGAGGAACACCAGCGGCGCAGGCGGCUCACUAGACAGUUUCUGACGCUAAGAUACGAAAGCGUGGGGAGCAAACA